rnacentral:rRNA from 1 species
CGGUAUUUGGUUAAAUUCUGAGGAACUUGUCUAUUUAAUUUGAUAUUACCCAUUAAAUUUUAUCUAUAAUUUUUUUUAUGUAUUGCUGUUUAAUUUAUUAUUUAUUAUUUAAAUGAAUGAAAUAUGAUUAUAAAAUAAAGAAUUCAAGUCAAAAUGUAGAUUUUUAUAGGUUUAGAUGAGUUACUUUUAUAUUGUAAUAUGAAACUGUAAAGUUAUAUUGAAAUAAUUGAUGAAAUGAAGGUUGGAUUAGGGAGUAAAAAAAGAAUAAUUAGUUUUUUUGAUAAUUUAUACUAAUAUGU